CAUCCUCUCCUCCGACUCUGUCAACGACAACGGCAAUAGAACUCUUGCUUCAGCACAGUUCAAAUACGGCGGCCGUCGGGGAGUUUCUACAGAGUAAUGAACAUCAGAGCAAUGGUGGGCAACAGUACCGGCAACAGAACUCAACGUGACCGAGUCAGUCAAAUUUAGAUAAAGGCAAACAAUAUGGUCCAUUAGAUUGCUUUAAGGGUCAAGAUUUUAUCAACUUUGUGAAACUGCGGGAAUAUUCCACAGCAGUAAAUCCAAAUCCG
rnacentral:lncRNA from 1 species